rnacentral:rRNA from 1 species
UACGGGGGGGGCAAGCGUUGUUCGGAAUUACUGGGCGUAAAGGGCUCGUAGGCGGCCAACUAAGUCAGACGUGAAAUCCCUCGGCUUAACCGGGGAACUGCGUCUGAUACUGGAUGGCUGGAGUUUGGGAGAGGGAUGCGGAAUUCCAGGUGUAGCGGUGAAAUGCGCAGAUAUCAGGAGGAACACCAAUGGCGAAGGCAGCUCGCUGGGACGUGACUGACGCUGAGACGCGAAAGCGUGGGGAGCAAACAGG